CCGUCCACCACCUCCCCUCCGCUGGUUUUUCCGUCGCGGCAGAACCAAUCCCUCGCUAGCCCUACCUCGUCUCCCGUCUCCAGUCGCAGCCGCCGCCGCACCCCAAUCCAACCCCGCCGCCGGCGAUCUCCUCGCCCCCCUGCGCCGCCGCCCCCAACCUUCUAUUCUUCUCCCAAGGGAAUCCCAAGGGAAGGGAAGGGAAGGCAAGGGAAGGGAAGGGAGAGGGAGCGCCCAGAUCCACGGCGGCAUCAGCGCGCCGUCGUCACCUGAUCCGCGUCCGUCCUCGAGGGAGGUCGGCCAUGGAGGUCCGACCCAGCCCGGCAGCAGCCAUGGACGGACGGAGAUGCCCCAAACCCUACCCUCAAGGACGACGCCUCAACCUUCAAGGACGCGCGCCGGCGACCGCGGAUCUCCGGUGACGGCUAUGGAUGACUGCCCCGGAUCUGGACGCACAACCUGCAGCUGCAGCAGCAGCUGGACGACCGCUUAUGUCCUGGAUUUCAUCUUUUCUCCUUUCUCUGAUUUACUCAUACACAACUCCUGACUUGCUGCAUGUGGCUGCUGAAUCUUCCUACUGCAGGUGUGCCUUACACAUGUUCGUUGAGUUGCUUAAUGACAUAAAAAAAUUUUGAAACCUGGAGUUAUGCAACUGCAGCAACAAGGACGGAUGGCCAUCUUCACAGGUUUUGCAAGUAAUUGAAGCGCUUUUUGAGUAGAGGAUAAUUAGAGAUAUAAAGUUCUACCUCAGAUCUUGGGGAAUUAAUCCAUCUCGCUGUACUACCAACUCCGUCAGCCGCUCCUGCUCCAUACGCACAAUCUCGUCGAUGUACCAGAUUUCUUUAAGACCCACUGAAUAUUAGACGGACGUGCUCUACCUUGGCCUCAAGGGUGUUCAUCUACUUGUUGCCGUGCUCUGGAAUCUGGACGAUGCACUAAUGCAGUGAGCACAAGCCUGCAACCUUGAAGGAAAAUCCAUUGCCGCUGAUGACAUGAUACUAUGGGCAUCUUGGCAGCCGCCACUAGAGCAACACAUCCCUGAGCGAGCAGAUGAUGCAUAGGGGCACCUAUGGAAGAAGAGGUCGGGGAUGGUAGACAAGGGCGUGGACGCCGGUGCGGGCUCCUUAAAGCCUUCGAGGAGGAUGUCGCGGUCGGGCCCGGGGGCGGCUGCACUAGAGACACCAUGGUCAUUGCAUUCUAACAGUAUCUGCAUGAGCAGAGAAGACCAAGACCAAGUGAAGGUCACAUGGACGUGUGAAUCAGUGGGCAAGCCUCAUUUUUCUUCUAUACAUUAGAGCAGCCCAAGAUACUUGGCAUCCGUGAGACCCAUAGAUCAGCUAGUUUGAUUCCAUGUGAAGCCCUGGACAAAUAGCACAUGUAUCACAUGGGCGGCCCAGAGGUACCAUCUGUGUUGCGGUGCUGGUGCAGCGUCACAACAUGAUGGUGCCUAAGGCUGAGCCAAUGCAAGCAAACACAAAAUAGUGAAGUGGAACUAAAAUAGGUAUUUGGGGGAACAUCAGUUGUAAGUUAUUCUCCAUGUCCACUCUUCUUCCUUUUAGCUACUUUAUCCCCUCCCUUGAAAUUUUAUGGGCUGCUGGGUGCAAUUCUCCUUAUAAUACCGAGACUCAUACAAUAUGUAUUUGUUGGUGAAUUCUGCUGUUCUGGAGGUCCGCGGAUGUGUUUAUUCAAAGCUUUGAUGAGAAAUUUUGAUCAUUGUUGUUCAUCGGUGUCCAAUUAGGUUUAGUUUUAGAAAUCUCGAAUAUGUAUUUAUAAAAUAUUCAGAUGGAACAACUCAGAUUAAACUAUCUAAAAAUUCUGGGCCCCCUCUAUAAUAGUUGCAUGAAUAGAAGUGAGGAGACUGAGUGUUAGUAGGUCAUAAGUACCUUACUAUAUUCCCCUUCAUUACUGCUUUGUUUUGGUUGAACACCUCGCAACCGUCGCUCCUCCAAGUCUGAACUCCACCGCCGUGGCUCGCAUGACACAUCGGUGAUAAUGUGUUUGGUUGUAAUUGUACACCACACACGUAAUCAUGAGUAUGUCUUUCCUGUGGCACCAGAGUUCCAAUUUUGUUGUAGAUUUAUCUUUUUCACGAAUCCGUUGUACAAAUGUUCAUUGGUUGGAGGAACAGGAGUGAAUUCCUGGUUUAAAAAAUUGAUAAUGUCGAUUGAUGUGCAUGAUGAUCCUCCAUGUAUAAUAUGUAUGCCCUGGUUCCGGUAUUUUUCUUUAGUUAACUGUUGGUCAGUUCGCCAAGAAGCUUUGUAUUCCUGUUAACUAUUCCUUUGGGCGACAGUAGCUUUUCUUUUGUUUCUCCAACCUAUUUCAUAAUGUAAACAAUUUUCACACUAACUCUUAAAAUUUUGGAUGACUUCGUUUCAGAUCUUCAGCCUCAAUUGGUUGGCCCAUUUAUGCUUUGCAAGAUUUAUUUAUGCCGUUUCCUCCCAAGAGUAAUAAUUUCGGUUUCAGAUGUGCUAAAAUUCUCAUCGUCACAAACCUUUCAAGCAAUGCUUGAGGAUUGACUGGAUGUAUUGAGCUCAAAUUUUGGAUGCCAAUUUGGAUACUCAGAUUACACGACCAUCUGUGCAUGCAUAGAUGAGAUGUUUUUUCAUGGAAUGUUUUGACGUAUGGUGGUUUUUCAUACACUCUUUUCAUUUUUUAUCUGGCUAGGGUGAACAAUACUAUCUAGGUGAUUGUGAAAAUGCAGGCUACAGUACUAAAUUUUCAUAAGGUUUGUGAAAAUACAAUUUUCUACACUAAGGAUGUGCCAUGGCAGAGUUAAGUUGGUUAGUACAUUAGUGGGUGUGUUAUGUAUUCGCAAGGUUAUGUCCAGUAUAAUACUUAAUUCCUUGUAACCAUAAAUGUGAGCUAGGAAGAAUAAAAUUUGUGCUUUAUUGAA